rnacentral:rRNA from 1 species
AAAUUGAAGAGUUUGAUCAUGGCUCAGAUUGAACGCUGGCGGCAGGCCUAACACAUGCAAGUCGAACGGUAACAGGAAGCAGCUUGCUGUUUUGCUGACGAGUGGCGGACGGGUGAGUAAUGUCUGGGAAACUGCCUGAUGGAGGGGGAUAACUACUGGAAACGGUGGCUAAUACCGCAUAACGUCGCAAGACCAAAGAGGGGGACCUUCGGGCCUCUUGCCAUCAGAUGUGCCCAGAUGGGAUUAGCUUGUUGGUGAGGUAACGGCUCACCAAGGCGACGAUCCCUAGCUGGUCUGAGAGGAUGACCAGCCACACUGGAACUGAGACACGGUCCAGACUCCUACGGGAGGCAGCAGUGGGGAAUAUUGCACAAUGGGCGCAAGCCUGAUGCAGCCAUGCCGCGUGUAUGAAGAAGGCCUUCGGGUUGUAAAGUACUUUCAGCGGGGAGGAAGGUGUUGUGGUUAAUAACCACAGCAAUUGACGUUACCCGCAGAAGAAGCACCGGCUAACUCCGUGCCAGCAGCCGCGGUAAUACGGAGGGUGC